UGUUAGCAGCUGGAAUCGAACCAACAAUCUUCGGGGCAUGAGCCCAAUAAGCCUACCAAAGCUCUUUACUAAC
rnacentral:tRNA from 1 species